UACGUAGGGGGCAAGCGUUGUCCGGAUUCAUUGGGCGUAAAGAGCGUGUAGGCGGCCAGGUAGGUCGGUUGUGAAAACUGGAGGCUUAACCUUGAGAUGUCAUCGGAAACCAUUUGGCUAGAGUCCGGAAGAGGAAAGUGGAAUUCCUGGUGUAGCGGUGAAAUGCGCAGAUAUCAGGAGGAACACCGAUUGCGAAGGCAGCUCGCUGGGACGUUACUGACGCUGAGACGCGAAAGCGUGGGGAGCAAACAGG
rnacentral:rRNA from 1 species